rnacentral:lncRNA from 10 species
CUAGGUUCACCUUGAAAGACAUAUGUACUCUUAACUGCUACAUUACACUGAUCCUGUACUUUAAUUAAAUAGAAAAUAGGAUACUCCAAAUCAUAAUCUUUAGCAAGCUCGAAUGGUGCAAUUGCUAAACUGUAGUAGCUGGUGGUAAAAUGGGGCAGCAUACUGAGGAAACAGAAUGCUCUAGAUUCCCUGAAGAUUCUGUGCCUGCUAACACAACAGUGACUCAGUCACUGCACUUCCUCAUUGCUGGAAGAUAACGAAAAUACCUUCAUAUGGCAAAACAAAACAUACUUCUCAACAGCU